GUCUAGGUAGCUUAUGUAGAGCAUGAUAUUGAAGAUAUCAAGGAAAUAUUAAUAUUCUUAGACA
rnacentral:tRNA from 1 species